UCAAGAGCAAAGCUGUCCUGCAAUACUGUAUCUCUUUUUCAUCCCCUUUUUACCUUGCUGCUCACUAGAUAACCAGAACAGUAAGUACCAGCCUGUGGCUAGGGAUACAGUUACUAUAGUAACAUUUAUAAACAUGGCAUUCACUACACAUGCAGAACUACUGCUUACUGGGAGUGGCUUAGAAAGAGAGCACUCUUUAGCUGCAAAUAGGUCUUAGAGGUGGGAGUGUUCCCAAGUCCUGAAGGCAGGCUCUGCCCCCAGCACGCUCCUGUGACUCACCAGGUUCAUCUUUAUCUCUUCCCACACCUUUCAUAACAAGACUUCCUUGAAGCUGCGGCAGUGCUUCUGGGGGUACAGUAAGUAGGCUACUACGCACACCUAAGUUGACUCACCUGGGAGAUGUCUUGUUCCUUCUGCAUCAUUCCUUCUGCAGCUGGUUUUGGAGGAUGAGAGGGCCAGCUCUGCUAAACUGGUGGAAGGUGCAGGGCAUGGCUGCUGGGCUAGCAAAUGAAUUUGGGUUUUCAGGUCAAGAGUUUUUCAGAGAUCUUAUGAGCUUAAGGAAGGCUGUGUAAGGGGUUUCACAUAUUAGCUGUUUGCUGCUCUGGCCAAAGGUGACCAUGUAAAACAGGGCAUACUGCAGGGCACUGUCAAGCUGCACCACUGCAAAUGGUGCCUGCUUGGCAGGGGCUGGUGGCAUCAGGCACAGUGCAGCUCAGGGAAGCAGUCCCAGCUAUGCUAAGAGUCACUGCCAUGGUUCCUGUAAGCAGCUGUGAUGCAUUCUCGAGCAGUUUUGCAGAGGAGGUGCUGCUAACUGUGUGAGAGAGGAAGGAGAUCAGAAGAGAAGCAGGGCUGAACACAUGGAGACGAUGAAGCUGUAUUGUGGCAUCACAGGCACAUGGGAAAGGGGAGAACCUAGAGGGAAGUGCUGGCUGAGGCAUGAGGUAAAGCAGGGAAGAGGGAAAAGACAAGCAAAGAAGCCAAUGUUCACUCAGCAAGAAUCUGAGCAGUGAGGGCUGUUCAUAUGUAUUAGCUGAUAAAAUUGUGAUGAGAAGCUCAGGGAGACUGUGACCUCCAUUUUACAUGGCCCAGCCCUUCUUUGCCUCCUGUCACUGAAGGCAGGCAGGCAGGCAUCUUCCCUGUGCUGGUUUCAGCGGUAACAGCCAUCGUUUUCUGAGACCACAAGUAUGUAGCAAAUAAUAAGCAAUAAUAAUAGCAGAUCUCACAGACGAAGGAGUUCAGAAUGAGAGAUUGUGUAAGUUAAGUGCUGACUGUGACAACUGUGAGGAAGAAGCACGCUCUGGGUGGAGACAGAAACAUGUGUCUGAGAUAGAUAACUGCAUAAGGGCCUCUUCUGUUUGGAUACAAAUUAGAUCCUGCAUCCUCAAAGCUCAGUGGCACCUUUGCUAAUUAAAAAAUGAGAUUGUAGUGCCAAACUGCAAAAGGCUUACUGGGGUGAUAGUAUCCUCUGCCAUAUGAGCCCAUGGUCUGCAGCAUCAUGCUUUGCCCCUUUUACAGACAGGGCAGUGUACAGCAGAGGCAGAGCAGCCUCCCUUUCCUAGAAGCAGGACUAAGAACUUACCAAGAGGCCCUUUGUUGUGACACAAAGGCUCAGAACAUUAAACACUGUUGGGUUUUGGCUCCCUAAAUAGGCACAGAGAAACUGCAGUGAGCUAGAAAGCUGAAUUUUGUUCUUUGCUCUCUGAGGCUGAGAGUGCUUUAGCUUCAUGUAUUGUGUUGUCAGUAUCUCGCUGUAUCCUCUAACUUGACAG